ACACCUAAAUAAGACCCCAAUUUUGUUUUAUUUUUCUAGGGUUUUGGUGCUGUGUUUUUAGGGUUUUUGGAUUGGGGGCUAUAACAAGUGAAGAAGAAGAGUGAAGGGAGCCAGAAGCUCAGAAAUCAGACUGUCAAUACUAAUAAGCAGGUAAUCCAGUACGGGAGGUGUUGAAAGAUGCAUGUCAGAAGUUGAUGUUGACGUGCCAGCAUGUGAGGAGCUCAUUGGACAAGGCUGUUGAUGAUUAUAGAUGGAAUUCCACCACAUAUAUAGAUACCAAAUAAUGGUUGAGAUCGAUGUGACCAAUUGCAAUCUUCAUGUUAUGGUUUUAGCUGAAUGCAACACGAUAUGUUUGAUCCAAUUCAAUCAGUGUGUUUGGAUAUGAUUCGUGUUUCUCAUCAUUUUGGAAGUUGGAUACAAAUUUCUUCA